rnacentral:rRNA from 1 species
GAUGAACGCUGGCGGCGUGCCUAAUACAUGCAAGUCGAGCGAACAGAUGAGGAUCUUGCUUCUCUUACGUUAGCGGCGGACGGGUGAUUAACACGUGGCUAACCUACCUAUAAGACUAGGAUAACUUCAGGAAACCGGAUCUAAUACCGGAUCAUAUAUUGAACCUCAUGGUUCUAUAGUGCACGACGUUUUUGCUGUCCCUUAUAGAUGGUUCCGCGCCGCAUUAGCUAGGUGGUAAGGGAACGGCUUACCAAGGCAACGAUGCGUAGCCGACCUGAGAGGGAGGACGGCACAAACGGAAAGUAGAACAGGGUCAGAAUCCCAAGGGAGGCAGGAGGAGGGAAACUUCGGAAAUGGGCGAAAGGCUGAAGGAGCAAAGGCGGGGGAUGGAAGAAGGUAUUUGGAUCGUAAAACUCUGUUAUGAGGGAAGAACAAAUGUGUAAGUAACUAUGCACGGCUUGAAGGUACCUAAUCAGAAAACCACGGCUAAAUACGGG